UACGGAAGGGGGCUAGCGUUGCUCGGAAUUACUGGGGCGUAAAGCGCACGUAGGCGGCUUUUUAAGUCGGAGGUGAAAUCCUGGAGCUCAACUCCAGAACUGCCUUCGAUACUGAAGAGCUCGAGUCCGGGAGAGGUGAGUGGAACUGCGAGUGUAGAGGUGAAAUUCGUAGAUAUUCGCAAGAACACCAGUGGCGAAGGCGGCUCACUGGCCCGGUACUGACGCUGAGGUGCGAAAGCGUGGGGAGCAAACAGG
rnacentral:rRNA from 1 species